rnacentral:rRNA from 1 species
UACAGAGGGGGCAAGCGUUGUUCGGAAUUACUGGGCGUAAAGGGCGCGUAGGCGGCCUGUUAAGUCGAACGUGAAAUCCCCGGGCUCAACCCGGGAACUGCGUCCGAAGCUGGCAGGCUCGAAUUCGGGAGAGGGAUGCGGAAUUCCAGGUGUAGCGGUGAAAUGCGUAGAUAUCUGGAGGAACAUCGGUGGCGAAGGCGGCUCACUGGCUCAUAUCUGACGCUCAGGCGCGACAGCGUGGGGAUCAAACAGG